rnacentral:lncRNA from 1 species
UCGGGUUGUAUCAUAUUUUCCUUCCGGUUUAUAUGAUCCGUUCAUCCUAUAUUGACUCUUAAAAUUCAAGAGUCUAUCUAUCUAAAAAUGAGGGUACUUUUUAUAUGGCCUUCCAAAUACCGUUUCGAUCCCUAACAUCACUGAAGAGACAUUUAUUGUCGAAAUCCGGAUCUGGUGUACUAAAAAAAUAUUGACACCGUGUGUUUGUGCCAUAACAUCGUGGCCACAAGUUAAUUUUAUUUUUUAUUUUUAUUUUUUUUCUGUUUAGUAUUAAAUUUAUAUUAAGAUCCAUUUUGUUACAUCUUGUGAUCAAUUUUAUUUGGCAAUCGCCAAUGGCAGUCAGUAGG